rnacentral:rRNA from 1 species
GACGAACCGUGCGAACGUUAUUCGGAAUCAUUGGGCUUAAAGGGCGCGUAGGCGGCGGCGUAAGUUGGAAGUGAAAUCCCAUCGGCUCAACCGUGGAAUUGCUCCCAGUACUGCGUCGCUCGAGGGGGAUAGGGGUCUGCGGAACUACCGGCGGAGCGGUGAAAUGUGUUGAUAUCGGUGGGAACGCCAGUGGCGAAAGCGGCAGACUGGACCCUUCCUGACGCUGAUGCGCGAAAGCUAGGGGAGCAAACGGG